AUACGUAGGUGGCAAGCGUUGUCCGGAUUUACUGGGUGUAAAGGGCGUGUAGGCGGGAUUGCAGGUCAGAUGUGAAAUACCCGGGCUUAACCCGGGAGCUGCAUUUGAAACCGCAGUUCUUGAGUGCUGGAGAGGGAAGCGGAAUUCCUAGUGUAGCGGUGAAAUGCGUAGAUAUUAGGAGGAACACCAGUGGCGAAGGCGGCUUUCUGGACAGUAACUGACGCUGAGGCGCGAAAGCGUGGGGAGC
rnacentral:rRNA from 1 species